UACAGGGGGUGCAAACGUUGCUCGGAAUCAUUGGGCGUAAAGCGCACGUAGGCGGUUCGUUAUGUCGGAUGUGAAAGCCCUUGGCUUAACCGAGGAAGUGCAUCCGAAACUGGCGAGCUAGAGUACUAAAGAGGAUAGCGGAAUUCCCGGUGUAGAGGUGAAAUUCGUAGAUAUCGGGAGGAACACCGGUGGCGAAGGCGGCGAUCUGGGUAGAUACUGACGCUGAGGUGCGAAAGCGUGGGGAGCAAACAGG
rnacentral:rRNA from 1 species